CUUUUCUUCCUUGUCUAGUGAAGGGGCGCUGCCCUUCCUUAGUGUCUGGGUUCCCGAGAGGUGUCUUAUGUGAAACUCUGCAUCCCUCAGGCUCUCCCUUGCCUGAGUCGAGUCUAGAAAGCUGGGUCACAAAACAUUUCUUGUAAAAAUCUCCUACCCUCCUCCUGUAUUCAUCACCUGAGAUACAGAGCAUCAUGCUUCAUCUCUAGGACCUAAGAUUGGCCACACUGGACCAGACCCAUAGACCAGUUAAGCCAGCAGCUUGUUUGGAUUACAGACAACUCUGCCUUCCUCAAGUCAAGUCACCUCUUUCUGACGUCCAGCCACUGUCUCUGAAGUCAAGUCACCUCUUUCUGAUGUCCAGCUGCUUCUCUGAAGUCAAGUCACCUCUCCCUGUGAUCCAGCCACUUCUCUGAAGUCAAGUCACCUCUCCCCGACAUCCAGCCAUGUCUCUGAAGUCAGGAACUUACAGUCCUGUUUAAAGACACGAAGAGAAAAACGAGAUGCCAAACCACAGUGGGAGUUUAGAGAAGACUGUGAUGAGAGUUGGAGCAUUCUUGGGGAGUCUUUGCUGCAGAGAUGGGACUUUAUGCAUCAGUACAUUCUUAAAGUGUCUACGCUGCCCCGGGAUGCUGAGCCCCUGGACACCACAGGUGGCAUUUCAGCUAUGAGUGAGGGGGGGCAUUUGGAAGGGGAGCCCCGAAGGGGAAGACAAUGGCUCAGAGAGAAUGAAGUCAGCACUUCCCAGCCUCUGUGUGCUGCGGUCCAAGGCUUCGGCCGGGAGCACUGCAGAGCAAAAGUUCUGAGAGCCACGGCUCAGGCUUAACUGGCCAGAGCGAGCUUGGCAGCUGCUCUCGUCCCAGCAGGCUUUGCUCUCUGAGGCAGUCAUUCCCACCACACAAAGGCAGUUCUGUGCCUCCCAAAGGUGCUUGGGGCAGGAAUGAAGAGCGGAACAGCCCCCAUCAAUCCAAUAGGAUUGUCGUUUUACGCUGGCGUGGAGCCUCAGACAUCAAAAGGGCUGGAGAGUGAAGCCACGUGUGAGCCGUGAAGUUGGUGACCCUGAGGCACAGAAAGCUGAGGGAAUUUGUUCGAAGUCACACAGCUGAUCUCCCAUCCUCAAGAAGGCCAGCCCAGGCUUCAUCACACAGCAGUGGAAGAGUUCUGAUUUAAGAGAAGAAGAGUGGAAGCUGCAGGUCCUGUUGAGACCUGGACUAGGAAGACACACAAUGCCACUUCUGCCACAUUCUAGUUGUCAUUUCUGGUUGUGAAAGCAAGUCCCAGGGCCAGUCAAGAUUCAAGGAAAGGAUCACCUUCACAUACCACCUCCUCCAGGAAGCAUGACCUGAUUGACCCUCAGUUGUGUGUGAACUUUCUUCCUUUCAACCCCCAUGGUGGUCCCAGUCAGAGACUGAUUUCCCUGAGGUUGCCAGAAAGCAAGAUACUAGCAGCAAGAAGAUCCCAACCCUGGGUGCCCUCCCUCCAACCCACAUCUCGCCAGUUGCUGCUAUUGGAGCGUCAGGAAUCCUGGCUGAAUAGUUUCUCUGUCUCACAUGGCAUUCAUGGAAGCAUUCACUGGUGUUCACUGGACCAUGCAGAUCUGGACAGCAUGUGGUGGCUGCAUUUUUGUGUCUGUUUCCUUGUUGAGCAUGGCUGGAAAGUGAGAUCAGCUAGAACCAUUGACCAAAGUGCUUAUGCAUGGGUUUUUCAGCAUGGUGACCUCAAGGUGGUCAGAGCUUUUAAAUGGGAGCUCGGAGCUCCCAGAGUGAAAAUUCCAAGAGACGCAGGAGGCAAUGGGAAGAUCCUGAUGCUAACUUCGGCUCUCCUGUUAGCCCACUGUGUGUACAUGAGGGAACCUCUUUAAAUCUCCACACCUCAGAACUUCUGCAGUGAUGGAUGUGUUCCACGGUUGUCAAAGUGUGGUCCCCAAACCAGCAGCAUCAACUUCACCUGAAAAUGUGUUAGAAUAGUCAAUUAUCAGGCCCCACCUCACAACCAUUGAAUCAAACAUCUUGGGUGGGACCCAGCAAUUUGUAUUUAACCAAGCCCAUAAGGUGAUUCUGAUGUGUGUAAGGGUUAAAGAAGCCCUGGGGUUGGUUCCUUUCAGCCGACUUUCUGUGAUUCUAACUACAGAAGCACCCUUUCAUGCCACAUGACCAGAACUAAUAGCCAAUUAAUUGAAAAAAUUAAUUAAAAUUAAGAAAUGCUACUUACAUUUGUGAAACUUUUAAUUUUAACGAAAGGAAGUCAAUCUUUCGAUGUAGGGUCAAGGCCUUUCUUUGAGUGUGAGUCUGCUGGUUGGAUUUCUAUGACAGCUUUUUUGCAUAACCCAUAUCUUUAAUGCAUGAUCUAAGAUUUUUAGGUUUUUACAAGCAGAGUAAGAACUAAAGACUUUACAAAGGAAUCUGAACAGUUCAUCUGAGUGACUCAUCUUUCUUGACUAUUUCUGAAUAUCUGACUUGGUUUACAUAACAAUGCAUUUGUAAUAUUUAAUUACAUUAAAUCAUUGCAAUGACAAUAAUUACUGGAAUAAACAAGUUUGGGAACAAAGUCAACUGAUGGAAACAGAAGGCUUGGGACACUGGGUGGUUUUCUACUCAUCACAAGCAUCACUUGGCCAUGGAUGUCAACUGUUUUAAGGACAGCAGGGAGAAUACUGGUAUAUGUGGAGAGUUGGUUGAGUGGACAUUGAGUAAGAGAGCUUCUCCUGCACUGCUGGUUCUUCCUAACCAGAAUUCUUGUCUUCUUCCCUCUUUUUUAUUGCAUCCUUGACACAUGUUUAAUUCAAGCCCUUUUCACCUAACCCUGAACUAUUACAAAAGCACACUAUGUGGUCUCAUCGUCUCCACACUUACCUCCUGGUGUCUGCAUAAAUUCAUGCUUACAAAAGCCAUGCCAUUCCCAUUCUCAGCAGGGUAGAAUGAAAAGAACACUGGAUUUAGAAGCUAAGGACCUGAUUGGGUCUUAAUCUACUAUUUCUAGUUGUGUGCCAUUGGAUAACUCAGUCAACUUCUCCAAGCUCUUUCCCUCAAGCAAAGAUAGAGCAACUAGUGCUACACACACUUCAGAGGGGAUCUUGAAGAUCAAGAGGACUUAAAUAGGUGAAAAUGUUUUGAAACCUGAAUAGAACUCUACAAUUCUAAGUUGUUUCUUUCCUUACUGUGUGAUAACGCUCAGUCUUUUCAGCCUAGCACCCAACAAUCUAGUUCUAGCUUAUCUUCUCAGCUUCUUUCUCAAAGAUCCUAGAAGUGUACUUCUCACCCUAGCAAGACUGUUCUACUCAAGCUCCCAUGCACAGACCUAAGUUUUCUUUUCCUUUUUUAUUAUAAUUUAAGUUUUAGGGUACAUGUGCACAACGUGCAGGUUAGUUACAUAUGUAUACAUGUGCCAUGUUGGUGUGCUGCACCCAUUAACUCGUCAUUUAACAUUAGGUAUAUCUCCUAUUGCUAUCCCUCCCCUCUCCCCCCACCCCACAACAGGCACCAGUGUGUGAUGUUCCCCUUCCUGUGUCCAUGUGUUCUCAUUGUUCAAUUCCCACCUAUGAAUGAGAACAUGCGGUGUUUGGUUUUUUGUCCUUGCGAUAGUUUGCUGAGAAUAAUGGUUUCCAGCUUCAUCCAUGUCCCUAAAAAGGACAUGAACUCAUCAUUUUUUAUGGCUGCAUAGUAUUCCAGGAUUGUAAAUCAUGCUGCUAUAAAGACACAUGCACACGUAUAUUUAUUGUGGCACUAUUCACAAUAGCAAAGACUUGGAACCAAGCCAAAUGUCCAACAAUGAUAGACUGGAUUAAGAAAAUGUGGCACAUAUGCACAGACCUAAGUUUUCUAUGUCUAUGCCUUUGGCCACUGUCCCCUAAAAUGUCUUUUUCCUUUUCUAUAACUGGGUUGGUCUACCUCCAUUUGCGUGGACGUUUCCAUGAGACACAGACUCACAAAGAUUGGGCAGAAUACAAGUAAGUCAAAGCAAGCUACCUCCUGGCCUCUGAAGACCAAGUGGAGAAGAAAACAGGUUUCUAACCAAAGAAGAAAGUUCUGAGUUAUAAUUUCUCAGCACUCUAGGCAAGGUGCAGCACACCUUGACAGUUAGAGAAGAGUAUUUCAUCUUGAAAACCUGCAGCUCACCAGUGAAGUAACAUCCUUUCUUGUUUCAUUGGACGAGACGGCACACUUGUCAGUGGAACUUAGAAGAUGCAGCAGUAACAACAUAAACUAGGUAUAUGCCGAACCCUAUCAGGUCAUCUAUUCUGUAGUCAUCUGGUGGUUGGGAUUAUUCUUAGUGAGACAAGCUAGGCAUCAAAAGGCUGAACAGCUCAAAUACCAAGUAAGACUCAAAUCCUUUUCCUAUGUAUAUAUUAAAAGCUGGUCACACUCUUAGACUUUAAACAUGGCACUGAAAUCUAGGAUUCCAUUCGGGUGCAAGCAACAGAAAACCUAAGAGAGGCCUUCGUAAAUAAGGGGUCAAUUUAUGCAGUGCGACAUGAGCUUUGGAAAUAGGUGGUCCUCACGUGCAGCUGCUCAAAUAGGCCACUGAAGGCUCAGACCCCUUCUCUCUCUUCCUGCUUCAUCAUCUUUCAUAUCUUUAGCUUUUAUUUUCCAUUGCAGGGUGGCUGCUGUGCCUUCAGGCAUCGGAUCACGUUCCAGGUGGUAAGAAGGGAGAGGGCAAAUUGGCAGAGCAGAUGACACUGAGCCUGUUCCUUUCCUUGAAGCGGGCUAUGUUUACCCAUAGUUCAUAUCUGGCAUCUUUUAUAAUUGGUGGUUAUUUAUUUAUUUUUAAUAUUACCCUUGCUUAAAAGCCCCACCUGCUAACUUCUGCUUUAUCUCAUCAUCUAGUUCUGGGUUACAUAGACACCCUUGCCUGGGAUAGAGUUGGAAAUUGAGUGUUUUUACUUGGGUGCACUGCCACCCUCAAACAGGUUUGAGAUUCUGUCAAAGAGAAGACAACAACAGAUACUGAGCAGGCAAUUAAUCGUCUGCCAUAAUGCUUAAUUCAAACUUGUGUAUUAUUCUAAAUUGCACCACUUGGCUUUAUAUUUAAAG
rnacentral:lncRNA from 1 species